rnacentral:lncRNA from 1 species
AUUCGCUGUAGGCUGUGCAAAGAUAAUCUGAUGGUUAAAAACAUGUUGGGUUGCCCAAUAUGAGUAUAUCGAACUGGCUUUAAAGUGCGUUAUAGGUGUAAAUAGCUAUUGAUUUGCUGCUGGCGUUUGCAAAUGCAAGGUAAGUUUUUAUUUUUUUUCAGUUGAGCUUUUAAAUUUUUUGCUUUUCAUUGUCACUUGAUCAUUCGAAAUUUUUGUAGCGUAGCUUGACUGGAAUGUUUGAUCACUCAAAUCUUUUACCGGUUGCUCAUGAAUACUACACAUGCCUUAGUGUUGGAUUGUAUAAAGUUAUAAAAUAGUUUUUUUUCACCAGUGCUAUUUUAUAGCAAAAGCUUCUACAUUCGAAGUGAACGGCAAUAUUAAAUAGUUUCCGAGUAUCGGAACAAGAGGUGUAUUAGAUCCACCAUUAACCUUCUUUCCUCAGCAUUGAAAGAAAGAUCGAACUUAGGCCUAUGCUUCGCUAGAAUCAUACGGUUUGCAAAAGAAGACUUGCAUCGUCUUCACUAUGAGCAUGAAGGUUUCAUGCUCAAUAUUUUUUUUUAUGUUCACGACUAAAAACUUGCGAAAUAGUUGAAAUACCACAGUCAGACUACCGCCGAUCAUGACAUCGGUUGCAGAAGUCAAGAUUUUGAUCUAUCAUCCUCACUAGAUCACACUCGCUAAUUUUAAGCUUAAAUAGAGGGAAAUUGUUUGAAGAAAUGAGAGAGCAAGAACGAGAAAUUGCCAAAAAGCUACUUAAAAACUUGCUGAGACGCUUUGAAUGAACAUUCGCUUUGAAUUUUCUAACAGAAAGGAAUGAGUAUUUAAUGUGAGAAACAGUUAAGAGGGAUACUACCUUAUAGGGCGAUUAACGAAAAUAUGUAAAAGAUGAGAAACUGUACUUGUAAUUUCAUUUCUCUUAAUGUCCUGAUUUAUCACACCUUCAGGUCAAAAAUAAAAGGUCUGUUUCCUGAAGAAGAUCUGUUUAGUGGAGAAUGAUAACUUGGCAUUUACCAUAUUAAAUGAAAGUGAUCAUUUAAAUUAUUAUAGUACUUUUCUAUUACAAGCAGUCUACUUUUCAUAAAAAAAAAUACGAACAAAUGACUUUAAUACUCCCAAGUUUUCCCAUUAAGCGAGUUCUCUUAACAUAAAGGAGAAUAUCAUGAAGUAUGUCGAAAAAAUAAAUAAAUAAAUAGCUGCAUUGAAACAUCAUUAAUAAAAAAACCCGAUUUUUGAAGAAAUCUGAUAGCAUUUACAUUGAAAAAAGUUAGGUGUGCAAAUCCAAAGUCUAAAAAACAAAGACUUAAAUUUCCAGCUGCUCAAUUUCCAAGCCACAUUUACAUCUUUGUACAAUUACACCGGGUUCAUUAGGUUUCUCAAAUUCCUCAUCAUAAGAAUGAACAUGUUUUCGCUUUUCACGAAUACUCAUUCGACUGUAAUUACUUGUCCGUGUUCUCUUUCGAAGCUCCAAAAGCUGCUUUUCAAACUUCUUCUCUUUCAUCUCCUUCUUUUGUACUUCUCUCCUCUCAAAUUCCGCGUCAAGAGCUUCCAUAGAACCCCAUUUUUUCUUUGCAAAUUCCUCAACUUGAUAGCGAAGAUAUAACAUCAUGUUGGACCAGCCUUGCUGAUGUGGAUUUGCCUUUAACAGUCGAGGUAAAAGUUCUUGAUCUUGCAAUUCCGGUUCCGUAAGCAAAUAAUCUAACUUGCACUCCGUUUUGGUUAGCAAGGAGUAUUUAUCCGGAUAUUUCUCCCGACACGUAUGACACACCCUACAAUGAAAAAUGUCAAAAUAUUUUGUGUCUAAUUCUAUGGAGUCGCACUCGAAGCAUUUUGGUGCCGUUUCUGGGUCUAGAUUAAGAGGUGCUAGCCUAAGCUUUUUUUGGCGUUCUUCUUGCUCUCUAAGCUCUCGCUCAGCCGGUUUCUCCCUUAAGUCUUCAACUUUCUUUUCUUCAAGAAGAUAACCACCUUUAGUAUCUUCAAUCUUGGAAAAAUCAUACUCGAUGUAAUCUUUGGUUAUCUCCGACUGCUCAUCAAAAGUACGCUUCCUUUUAUUAACUUUUGCACCAUCAACGUGAACCUCUUCUAUACCUGUGAGAUUCUUUAACUUUUCAAUUUCAUUUCUUUGCUCCUCGAUUGUUGGAUUCGGUGACUUGACAAUUGACGAAUUUUCCAUUACGGAAGUUUUUUUAUUUUAUUUCCCUAGUAUGAUAAUUCAAAAAAUCAAAUAAUAAUCCAAAAUGAGAAUGGCUAUUGUUAGAAAUGAAACAAUCAAUAAGAAAGCAAUUUAUAGAUGUCGAUACGGGUUUUGUAAUGACCAAGCUUCUUAAUCUCUAAGUCUCAAUUUAAUUACAAAUUUUUUGAUUUUUUAAUGAAAAUAUAAUCUGAUUGUUCAAUAAUUAAAAGAAAAAAUGCUCAUCCG